AGCUCCAAUAGCGUAUAUUUAAGUUGUUGCAGUUAAAAAGCUCGUAGUUGGAUUUCGGUUAAGAGCGACCGGUCCGCCGUUUGGUGUGCACUGGUUGGUUUUAACUUCCUGUAGAGGACGUGCUCUGGGUUUAACGACCUGGACUCGGAGUCUACGUGGUUACUUUGAAAAAUUAGAGUGUUCAAAGCGGGCUUACGCUUGAAUAUUUCAGCAUGGAAUAACACUAUAGGACUCCUGUCCUAUUUCGUUGGUCUCGGGACGGGAGUAAUGAUUAAGAGGAACAGUUGGGGGCAUUCGUAUUUCAUUGUCAGAGGUGAAAUUCUUGGAUUUAUGAAAGACGAACUUCUGCGAAAGCAUUUGCCAAGGAUGUUUUCA
rnacentral:rRNA from 1 species